UUGAUGGAUAGUUCACAUUAAAAUUUAACAUCUGUUGCCAGUACUGAUGUGAAUUUUCCAUUUCAUCCAUCUUGCAGGAAUUCAACACCUGCGAGUCGAACGUCUUUUACGAUUGCGACGAAGAAAAGUGAUGCAUCCAGCAGACAUUUGACUCCCAUUCCAGUACGCAGUGCAGACAAAAAAGGUUGUGUUUCGAGCAGAAGUAAUGACUGAUUAAAAGGAGAAUGACAACCACACAAGUUCCCAUUCACUCCCAACAGAAGAAUAAAAUCCACAUGUGGAUAAAAUUUUGCUAGAAUUUCUG